rnacentral:rRNA from 1 species
UACGGAGGGUGCUAGCGUUGUUCGGAAUCACUGGGCGUAAAGCGCGUGUAGGCGGCCUGUUAAGUCUGAUGUGAAAGCCCGGGGCUCACCCCCGGAAGUGCAUUGGAAACUGCCAGGCUCGAGUCCCGGAGAGGAGGGUGGAAUUCCUGGUGUAGCGGUGAAAUGCGUAGAUAUCAGGAGGAACACCGGUGGCGAAGGCGGGUCUCUGGGCAACAACUGACGCUGAGGAGCGAAAGCGUGGGGAGCGAACAGG